UGCANGUCGAGGGGUAGCAUGAUUGUAGCAAUACAAUUGAUGACGACCGGCAAACGGGUGCGGAACACGUACACAACCUUCCUACAAGUGGGGAAUAGCCCAGAGAAAUUUGGAUUAAUACCCCGUAACAUAGCGAUGUGGCAUCACAUUGCUAUUAUAGCUUCGGCGCUUGUUGAUGGGUGUGCGGCUGAUUAGAUAGUUGGCGGGGUAACGGCCCACCAAGUCUACGAUCAGUAGCUGAUGUGAGAGCAUGAUCAGCCACACGGGCACUGAGACACGGGCCCGACUCCUACGGGAGGCAGCAGUAAGGAAUAUUGGACAAUGGACGCAAGUCUGAUCCAGCCAUGCCGCGUGAAGGAUUAAGGUCCUCUGGAUUGUAAACUUCUUUUAUAAGGGACGAAAAAAGGUCUUUCUAGAUCGUCUGACGGUACCUUAUGAAUAAGCACCGGCUAACUCCGUGCCAGCAGCCGCGGUAAUACGGAGGGUGCAAGCGUUAUCCGGAUUCACUGGGUUUAAAGGGUGCGUAGGCGGGCAGGUAAGUCAGUGGUGAAAUCCUAGAGCUCAACUCUAGAACUGCCAUUGAUACUAUCUGUCUUGAAUAUUGUGGAGGUAAGCGGAAUAUGUCAUGUAGCGGUGAAAUGCUUAGAUAUGACAUAGAACACCUAUUGCGAAGGCAGCCUACUACGCAUAUAUUGACGCUGANGCACGAAAGCGUGGGGAUCAAACAGGAUUAGAUACCCUGGUAGUCCACGCCCUAAACGAUGGAUACUCGACAUACGCGAUACACUGUGUGUGUCUGANCGAAAGCAUUAAGUAUCCCACCUGGGAAGUACGUCCGCAAGGAUGAAACUCAAAGGAAUUNGNCGGGGGUCCGCACNAGCGGNGGA
rnacentral:rRNA from 1 species